GAGGGCGGCGUGUUCGGCUGCGUGCACCUUGGCGUAGUCGAUUCGCCCAGUAGCCGUGUUGCGGUAGCGCGUGCAGGCGUCAAGCUUCUUUCCUCGCCUCGGCCGCUUGUUGCUGUGCAUAUGCCUUGCGGUAUAUCCACGACGUAAACUCCUUGACCGCCA
rnacentral:misc_RNA from 1 species